rnacentral:rRNA from 1 species
GCCUCAGUAACGGCGAGUGAAGCGGCAAAAGCUCAAAUUUGAAAUCCCCCGGGAAUUGUAAUUUGAAGAGAUUUGGGUCCGGCCGGCAGGGGUUAAGUCCACUGGAAAGUGGCGCCACAGAGGGUGACAGCCCCGUGAACCCCNUNAAAGCCNUCAUCCCAGAUCUCCAAGAGUCGAGUUGUUUGGGAAUGCAGCUCUAAGUGGGUGGUAAAUUCCAUCUAAAGCUAAAUACCGGCGAGAGACCGAUAGCGAACAAGUACAGUGAUGGAAAGAUGAAAAGCACUUUGAAAAGAGAGUGAAAAAGUACGUGAAAUUGUUGAAAGGGAAGGGCUUGCAAGCAGACACUUAACUGGGCCAGCAUCGGGGCGGCGGGNANCAAAACCACCGGGGAAUGUACCUUUC